rnacentral:rRNA from 1 species
ACUCCUACGGGAGGCAGCAGUCAGGAAUAUUCGGCAAUGGGGGCAACCCUGACCGAGCAACGCCGCGUGGAGGAUGACGGUUUUCGGAUUGUAAACUCCUUUUCUCAGGGAAGAGCGAGGACGGUACCUGGGGAAUAAGUCACGGCUAACUACGUGCCAGCAGCCGCGGUAAU